GAUGAACGCUGGCGGCGUGCUUAACACAUGCAAGUCGAACGGGAUCGGCUGGAGCUUGCUCCGGCCGUGAGAGUGGCGAACGGGUGAGUAAUGCGUGACCGACCUGCCCCAUACACCGGAAUAGCUCCUGGAAACGGGUGGUAAUGCCGGAUGCUCCGACAUGACGCAUGUCGUGUCGGGAAAGAUUCAUCGGUAUGGGAUGGGGUCGCGUCCUAUCAGCUUGAUGGCGGGGUAACGGCCCACCAUGGCUUCGACGGGUAGCCGGCCUGAGAGGGCGACCGGCCACAUUGGGACUGAGAUACGGCCCAGACUCCUACGGGAGGCAGCAGUGGGGAAUAUUGCACAAUGGGCGCAAGCCUGAUGCAGCGACGCCGCGUGCGGGAUGACGGCCUUCGGGUUGUAAACCGCUUUUGACUGGGAGCAAGCCCUUCGGGGUGAGUGUACCUUUCGAAUAAGCAC
rnacentral:rRNA from 1 species